AGCCAUUAAGUAAACUUAGGGAACAAGUAAAGAAAAUCCUAAUGAUCUGGGCAUAGGAAAAGGCUGGAUCCCACAUUUCAUCUCGGCAAGUCUUCUUGGUUUUGAAACGAAAUUCUACCUGCACUUGAGCAUUUCAGUCUUCAGGAAUUUAUGGAGAUUUUUAAAGCGUAUGACAGCAAGCAAGUCUUGAAAGUUCAAUAAAGGUUGUUUCUUCCAGAUAUAGCUUAGAUAGUUCUACAUCACUUUUGUCAUCACUCGCCAUUCAAGUUGCGGAGGAGUGAGGAGCUAGACGCUAGAUGCAGGGGAAGUAUAGUUGUUGUUUGCUUGGAUUUAACUAUUGUGUCAUCUACCAGAUUUCAAUAUGGCUGAUUUCAACAAUGACAAGCUUCUCAAUGUGACAGUUUCUCAUUUGUGUAGCACUUUCUUGAUCGUUUAUUAAAUUCAAGAUUGGAGUAUCUUCAGCAUACCAGCACAACAUUGAACUUUAAGUUGGUAAUAGAAAUUAAUUGUGUAAUCAACAAACUGCAAAAAUUGUUACAUGUUGCCUCCGCUAGGACAGCUACCUUCUUUGGAAAGCCUUCAGAGUUGGGGAUUUGAUAUGCUGGAGAUGAUAGGCGAUGAAUUUUACAGUUAUAGUUCUUUGAACACUAAGCCAUUCGAGUUCUUAGAAGAGAUAAGAUUUUUCAGGAAUGGCAGAGUGGAAGGAGCGGUGAUUGGUGGAAGUGGAAGGCAGAUUUUUCUCAUGUGUGAAGAUACUUGAGUUAUGGAAUUGUCCGAAGCUAAAGGGGCAUGCUUACCUAAUGAUCUUCCAUCCUUGGAAACUCUUGGAACAGAGGAAAGUCCCUCAUGCGGCUGCAAUAUAUACUGCCUUAGGAAACCACUGAAUGACUCUUUACUGCCUAGUUGUGUUAAAUCGAUGUGUUUUAUUUUCUUUUGUGUUUUUUCUUCUGCUUAUGUGGCUAUUUUCUGUUGUUUCUUUGCUGAUGUGGUUUUUGUGGUUACACUCUGCAUGGUGAAGUGGUAUUAUCUCAAAGCUGAUAAAAAACGGCUCAUUUUCUUGUAAGAAAGGCAGAGACCUUUAUUUUCGAAAAUAAUAGAUUGAAUUCUUUUCCAUUCUUCGAAUGGUCAUGGAAUUGGACCAGAGUGAGGCCUGGACAGGCUGAGGACCUGAGACCUACUCCUUGGUGAUUCCACCUCGUGACUCCCUACGUCAGCCCGCAACCUGGUGGCUUCACGCUCAACCUAUUGAUAUCCAUCUCCGUUUAUGGAGAAUUGAGAGGUGUGUCAACAUGAAGACAUUUCCAGAAGCUACAUAGCUGAAAAUUAAAAUCUCUUUCAGAAGCUACAUUGCAUGGAGUGAACUGGUGUCACUUUCAGAAGAGUGAUGGCAAUCAAAUUUAAAAUCACUUUAGUAGUCUGCACAGCAUUCAGUGAAAUCUGGGAAUUCUCAAUCUCUCUUGCAUCUUUGGAUAUCGGAGACAUAAAUGAAUGGAUGCAUAUGCAAAGGAGGAAAGGCAACUUCCCACUGCUCUCACUUCUCUUGAGCUAAAAUAUCUUACAAACCUGAAAUCCUUUAAUGAAAUCGCCCUUCAACACCUCACUCCCUUCAAAAUUUGACCCUUUAUGCCACAAAAAGGGCUUCCCACCACUCUCACUUCUCUUUACCUAUCUUCUCUUCAAAACCUGAAAUCCAUAAUUAUAGAUGCCAACAGCUCCAGUGCUUGCUGCAAGAAAGGCCGUCUGCUUCUCUUUCCGAGCUGAGCAUCACUUAUUGUCCUUUGCUAAAGCCAGGUGCCGGAGAGGAACGGGGGAAGAUUGGCCUACCAUCUAUCACAUUCCUCGUAUAAUCAUAGAUUACCGAGAUAUAUGAUUGAUCAUGUCCACUUUGUCUAAAAUUAAAUUCAGGCACUUUAUUUCUACGAUCUUUUUGCAUAUAAAUGACCAUCACCAUGCAAGACAUGUUUCCUUGUUUUUCUCUUUUGCUUUAAGUAACUUUUGUAAUUAUACACCAUGUAACGUUCAAUACCCAUCUAAUUGCA